ACCUGCCCUAUGAUAUAGAUAUUAAAUGGCCGCGAUAUUUUGAUCGUGCAAAGGUAGCAUAAUCAUUAGUUUUUUAAUUGAGAACUGGAAUGAAAGGUUGAACGAGAAAAAGACUGUCUCAGUUUAAUUUAAUUAGAAUUUUAUUUUUAAGUCAAAAAGCUUAAAUAUUUUUAAAAGACGAGAAGACCCUAUAGAGUUUAAUAUUUAAAAUUUUUAAAAUGAUAUAUAGUAUAUAAGUUUUUAUUUGGUUAUUAAAUAUUUGGUUGGGGUGAUUAGAAAAUUUAAAAAACUUUUUUUAUAUAAUAACAUUAAUAUAUGAAAAAUUGAUCCAUAUUUUAUGAUUAAAAG
rnacentral:rRNA from 1 species